AGAGUUUGAUCCUGGCUCAGAACGAACGCUGGCGGCGUGCCUAACACAUGCAAGUCGAACGAGAAAAUUUCCUUCGGGGAAUGAGUAAAGUGGCGCAAGGGUGAGUAACACGUGAGUAAUCUGCCUUCGAAUUUGGGAUGACUUGACGAAAGUUAAGCUAAUACCGGAUAAGACCACGUUUCACAAGAAAUGCGGUCAAAGGGGUCUCAAACCCCGUUUGAAGAUGAGUUCGCGUACCAUUAGCUUGUUGGUGAGAUAACAGCUCACCAAGGCGACGAUGGUUAGCCGGCCUGAGAGGGUGAUCGGCCACACUGGAACUGAGACACGGUCCAGACUCCUACGGGAGGCAGCAGUGGGGAAUUUUGCGCAAUGGGCGAAAGCCUGACGCAGCAACGCCGCGUGAGCGAUGAAGGCCUUCGGGUCGUAAAGCUCUGUCAAGUGGGAAGAACACAAUGACGGUACCACUAGAGGAAGCCCCGGCUAACUUCGUGCCAGCAGCCGCGGUAAUACGAAGGGGGCAAGCGUUGUUCGGAAUUAUUGGGCGUAAAGCGUGUGUAGGUGGUUGUUCAAGUCAGACGUGUAAGCCCUCGGCUCAACCGAGGAAUUGCGUUUGAAACUGAUCGACUUGAGUACAGGAGAGGAAAGCGGAAUUCCCAGUGUAGCGGUGAAAUGCGUUGAUAUUGGGAAGAACACCGGUGGCGAAGGCGGCUUUCUGGCCUGUUACUGACACUGAGAUACGAAAGCUAGGGGAGCAAAGGGGAUUAGAUACCCCCGUAGUCCUAGCCGUAAACGAUGGGCACUAGGUGCGGGGGGUAUUGAUCCCCUCUGUGCCG
rnacentral:rRNA from 1 species